GAGAAAACACUUAUCCAGAAAACUGUGAAAACCUUGUACUAAGGCCGGAAAAGACUCAAACCUUGUUCGAUGGCCGGAACUUCACCACUCUUUGAUAUCAGACGAAGAAGUACAAGGGUGCAAGGUAUAAAUAUCCGUCUCCCAAAGAACUCCGGCGGAUUUGGAUGUACAAUGGUGGCCGAAUAAUUUCUUGGUGGUAGAUGAAUAUCUCUUUCUUGGUAAUGGC
rnacentral:lncRNA from 1 species